rnacentral:rRNA from 1 species
AGGGAAUCUUCCACAAUGGACGAAAGUCUGAUGGAGCAACGCCGCGUGAGUGAUGAAGGUUUUCGGAUCGUAAACCUUGGUGGUAGGGAAAGACCAAGUAGGUCAGCAAUUGACGUUCCUUUGCCGGACCUUAAUAGAAAGGCCAGGCCAAACUAGGUCCAGCAGCCGCGGUAAUACGUAGGUUGCAAGCGUUGUCCGGAAUUAUUGGGCGUAAAGCGCGCGCAGGUGGUUUCUUAAGUCUGAUGUGAAAGCCCACGGCUUAACCGUGGAGGGUCAUUGGAAACUGGGAGACUUGAGUGCAGAAGAGGAAAGUGGAAUUCCAAGUGUAGCGGUGAAAUGCGUAGAGAUUUGGAGGAACACCAGUGGCGAAGGCGACUUUCUGGUCUGCAACUGACGCUGAGGCGCGAAAGCAUGGGGAGCAAACA